rnacentral:rRNA from 1 species
AUACGGAGGGUCCAAGCGUUAUCCGGAAUCAUUGGGUUUAAAGGGUCCGUAGGCGGGCAAUUAAGUCAGAGGUGAAAGCCCACAGCUCAACUGUGGAACUGCCUUUGAUACUGGUUGCCUUGAAUUAUAGUGAAGUAGAUAGAAUAUGUAGUGUAGAGGUAAAAUGCAUAGAUGUUACAUAGAAUACCGAUUGCGAAGGCAGUCUACUAACUAUAUAUUGACGCUGAUGGACGAAAGCGUGGGGAGCGAACAGGAUUAGAUACCCUAGUAGUCC